rnacentral:misc_RNA from 1 species
CAGUUACUCGUUUCCCAGCUGAGCAGAAACGUCCUGUUGGACCUCUAGUUGUGGUUGGUGUUAGAGAUGGAGUUCUUUGGUUAAUUGACAGGUACAUGAGUGCACAUGCUUUAUCCUUAAAUCAUCCUGGUAUCCGUUGUCGUUGUCUUGCUGCCUAUGGUGAUGCAGUCAGUGCUGUCAAAUGGGCAAGUAGGCUUGGUAG